rnacentral:rRNA from 1 species
AGGACGAACGCUGGCGGCGUGCUUAACACAUGCAAGUCGAGCGGAAAGGCCCUUCGGGGUACUCGAGCGGCGAACGGGUGAGUAACACGUGAGCAACCUGCCCUUAGCUUCGGGAUAGCUCCGGGAAACCGGAAUUAAUACCGGAUAUGACUAUGGCCGACAUCAGCCAUGGUGGAAAGUUUUUCGGCUAGGGAUGGACUCGCGGCCUAUCAGCUAGUUGGUGAGGUAACGGCUCACCAAGGCGACGACGGGUAGCCGGCCUGAGAGGGCGACCGGCCACACUGGGACUGAGACACGGCCCAGACUCCUACGGGAGGCAGCAGUGGGGAAUAUUGCGCAAUGGGCGAAAGCCUGACGCAGCGACGCCGCGUGGGGAUGAAUGCCUUCGGGUUGUAAACCCCUUUCAGCAGGGACGAAGCGAAAGUGACGGUACCUGCAGAAGAAGCGCCGGCUAACUACGUGACAGCAGCCGC